UUUGCAGGUUAGAAAUAUAUUAAUCAUAUUUACAGAAGUGCCCAGAAAAGUGUGGCUUUCAUCGUUCUUCUUCUUGAACGCACAACAAUAAAUGGAAUUGCAGAAAUUUUCUUCGAGAUCGGAGUUGGAGCAGAAUCGAGCAGUGGCUUAAAUUGAUCUGUGAACCAGGCGCAAGGUACUGCGGAUUUGAACCUUUGAAGGCCUAGUACAUCACGGCGAAAUUUCUGCUCUGAAAUGGCGUCCCUUCUCAGCCCAUCAACGCCGCCAUCCGCCAUUCAUCUGAGACGAAAGGCGAAUCUUCUCGAUUUCAGUUUUUUAUCUACAAAUCAUUCAUUAAAAGUUUAUGGGAAAAUUGGAAGGACUGAUGGCUAUCAUGGAAUUUGCCUUACAACAAGGGCCAAGGGGGGUAUUGAACAAGACGUUCUUGCGAAAGAUAAAGAGCCAAUUGAAAUUGACGUUGACAAUGAUUAUGGAGCGGUUGGCGUUCACCACGUUGGAGUGCUUUGUGAGAAUCUCGAGAGGUCACUUCACUUCUAUCUAAAUAUUCUAGGUCUUAAAAUAAACGAAGCAAGGCCACACGAUAAGCUUCCUUAUAGAGGUGCUUGGUUGUGGGUGGGUGCUGAGAUGAUUCAUUUAAUGGAGCUUCCAAAUCCUGAUCCUUUAUCUGGACGACCUGAACAUGGAGGCCGUGAUCGUCAUACUUGUAUUGGAAUUAGGGACGUAUCGAAGUUGAAAGUGAUCCUUGAUAAAGCUGGUAUUCCCUAUACGCUUAGCAAGUCAGGAAGGCCAGCAAUCUUUACAAGAGAUCCAGAUGCAAAUGCUUUAGAAUUUACUCAACUCGAUGGGUAAUUCUAUCAACACCAAUGAGCUUUCAUUGCUUAUGAAGAACCUCAGGAUCUUCAGAUCACUGAAAAGCUUACAGGACGUGGAUGGUAGAGACCCAAUCGUCAGACGGGCAGUGGAAAGGUAUUUGUAGAUUGUGUUGAUAUAGAUUCGAUGUAUUAUUUACCUAAUGUUGUCAUAGAAUUAACAAAGAAUUUGAGGAGUUUUGUAUGGUCAAUAUUGUGAUUGUCCUAUUGAAUAAUGUCCUUUGCAGACAGGGAGUUUUGUAUGACGUAUUGUAAUUGUCCCAUUGAAUAAUCACUUAUAGUUAUCUUGUUAAAC